UACAGAGGUCUCAACCGUUGUUCGGAUUCAUUGGGCGUAAAGGGUGCGUAGGCGGUCGCGCAAGUCGGAUGUGAAAUCUCAGGGCUCAACCCUGGAACUGCAUUCGAUACUGCGUGGCUAGAGUGCUGGAGAGGAGACUGGAAUUUACGGUGUAGCAGUGAAAUGCGUAGAUAUCGUAAGGAAGACCAGUGGCGAAGGCGAGUCUCUGGACAGCAACUGACGCUGAGGCACGAAGGCCAGGGGAGCAAACGGG
rnacentral:rRNA from 1 species